UCGCCUCUUUCCAUUUUAAUUCCUCAAACCAUAUCCUAGUCCCCCAUUUUUUUUAGUCUGCCGCCCUUGAAUACUCUCCACUCCCAAAUUCUCUUGAAGUUUCUUCGAAACUCCAGCCGUCUCCGACCCUUUUCUAUCGUACUUCCAUCGAAAUCCAUGGAUUCUAAGGCUAUGAAUGGUCUAUAAUCACCCCCUUCCACUAUUAGACCAUGUUUUUUUUGAAGAUUUGAGGUUUGACCUUGAUGUUUCUCCUCCAGACCUUCAUAAAUCUAUGGUUCUAUGGUCUCUCAGGCAUGUGCUCCGGCAUAUUCAAGCAUUAGAGGGUCAGAUUCUACCUCUCCGACUCAAGAUCGGGCUUUCUUCCAAGCCUUUCUCAUUUCUAGGGUUUCUCUGGAACCCCAAGCUAUUCGAGGUUUUUCUCUAUUUGUUUUCUUAAAUCUAUGAUAUAUUUGUGUUCUACUGGAGGUGUAAAGUGUUUUUCCCAAUCUUUUCUUUAAAAUGGCUUCUUGUCGAUUUAGGGUUUCUGAAAGGUUUUCAAAAACAUCUUUCUGAUUCUUUUCUUUAUGUGUUUUUGUCUAUAUUAUGUUCGUGUGUUUUCUUUUCUACCACACAUGUAUUGUUCUUCUACUUUUCUUUCUACUAUACUUUGUAUUAUACUGUGUCUUUAAACUUGGCUCGCAUAUCAAUCUUUGUUAUGAUCUUCUAUCUGUUCGAAGCUAUAUUCUAUUGUAUGUUUUCUUAUUAAGUUCUUAAGUUUGUUUACCUUUGCUAAACUUCUGUUUGAGUUCUAAACAUGCUUCAUUUACUGUUUCUUGAGUUUAUAUCACUUCUUCUCUAUUCCAACUUGCUUAAAUUUCGAGCUUUUCUCGAACAUGUUCUUUAUGCUUUCAAUCCCGCUAUCAAGGUCUGUUGGUUUCUCAUGAGUCUCUAAAAGAGACCUCUGAGUCUGUUUCGAUGGCUUGCCUUCUCAUCUCUAUGUCUGAUUCGAUUUGAAACCCUAGGAUAUGGGGGUUUCUUUGGCAAGUUUGAUUAGGGUUCUACUUUGGAACCCUGAACUAACAGACUCAUUUUAAGUACUAUGAACUGAAUUUGAAACUCGUUGCUUAUGAUUCUGAACCUUUCUAUGCUUGUCUUUUCUAAUUAGCAUGACAUCUCCUUCUUGCUUAUUUGUGUACUUCAUAUAUGAGAAUUUCUUCUUGCAAAAAGGGUUUUUGCCGACUAAUGGAUUGAUUUCGAAAUCCUUUUAACAAGGCCUGGCUAAUUGUUACUGAUUUUUUUCUUUAAUUUUACCUUUUUCUGACUUGGUUCAUUCGAACAAAGCCUGUGAUUUUGAUUUCGCUGGUUGUUUGGUUGUUUCCCUUUCCUUAUUUUUCACAAACCGUGUACCACUAAACUUUGCCUUAAAUAAAUCUUGUGUAUUUACCCUUCUUUUGUUACUUUGGAAAAGAUUUUAAUCAAAUUUCUUUCCUUAAAUGUUUUCUACCCGUUUGAAAUCAGAAUCCCUUAACUAAAGGGAGACUUUGUGUGAUUGAUUGCAAACUAUUCCCUUACCUUUUCUUACUUGUUUUCUGUACUAUAAAAGGGGCACUACCCUUCUACACUUAGACCACAUUGAACAUUCAGUUCAACACCUUCAACUUACAUUACCUGUACACGUACAAUUCAGUACUUCUUUGAGUUCAAUACUCGAGCACACAUUAUUCUCUUGCAAUUUGAAUACUCUUGCAACAUUCUACUCUCUUCAAAGAUCCUUUGGACUGUUUGCCUGCAACUUGGUUUUUUUUCAAGACUACUGUUGUACUUGUUUGUUUCCCUGAAACUGGUAUGUUCUAGUUUAAAUUUUCAGCUUCACUCCUAUAUGUGUACUUUAUAGUUUCAGCAUUCUUAUUUACUUUGUUGUUUAUGUUCAAUAUUGACUAUACAUGUUCUUCUCUCUGCAUCUGCUUUUUGUUGUGCAUUCCCCGUACACCUACUCCCUUCUAUGUAUUGAGUUAAGAUUCAUGGCCUGGUAGUAUCCAAAUUACUGCUCAGGUCUGAACCAGAUCCUCAAUGGGUCCUAACUUCCAAAAGUUGGAUAACAGGAUGGUCAGGGGUGUGCCAGCACUCCUAAUUGUUGGGCAUGACCACCAGCCUGCCAGAGCCUUCACAGAAUCCCCUUUAUUGCACUUACACUUAUUCCUAGUUUAUAAGUACUGCCUCCUCCUAUGAGCCUUACUUUGGGACCUUGAGUUCCCUCUGAACUUGGACAUUUGAGGGCUAGCCCUUCCAUAUUGCACUUUAUUCAAUUUUACAACUUAUUUUGGGUAUAAUCACUGCCUGGAGUUCAUGAAGUUUCUAGGAAUCUGACACACCUAAAAAUGAGAAAGGCUUUGGAAAUCAGAUCUUUAGAGUUGGUUUAUUUCAUAUCUCAGACUUUGGGUCUGAAUUAGGCUCUCUCUAGUUGGAAUCUUUAAUUUCUGAUGUAAUUUUAUUUUUCUUAAUUCAUUCGGG
rnacentral:lncRNA from 1 species